rnacentral:rRNA from 1 species
AUGAACGCUGGCGGCGUGCCUCAUCCAUGCCAGUCGAGCGAACAGAUGAGGAGCUUGCUCCUCUGACGUUAGCGGCGGACGGGUGAGUAACACGUGGAUAACCUACCUAUAAGACUGGGAUAACUUCGGGAAACCGGAGCUAAUACCGGAUAAUAUAUUGAACCGCAUGGUUCAAUAGUGAAAGACGGUUUUGCUGUCACUUAUAGAUGGAUCCGCGCCGCAUUAGCUAGUUGGUAAGGUAACGGCUUACCAAGGCAACGAUGCGUAGCCGACCUGAGAGGGUGAUCGGCCACACUGGAACUGAGACACGGUCCAGACUCCUACGGGAGGCAGCAGUAGGGAAUCUUCCGCAAUGGGCGAAAGCUUGACGGAGCAACGCCGCGUGAGUGAUGAAGGUCUUCGGAUCGUAAAACUCUGUUAUUAGGGAAGAACAAAUGUGUAAGUAACUAUGCACGUCUUGACGGUACCUAAUCAGAAAGCCACGGCUAACUACGUG